rnacentral:rRNA from 1 species
UACGAAGGGGGCGAGCGUUGUUCGGAUUUACUGGGCGUAAAGGGCGCGCAGGCGGCUCAUUUUGUCAGGCGUGAAAGCCCCGGGCUUAACCUGGGAACUGCGUUUGAGACGGAUGGGCUAGAGUUCGGGAGAGGAGAGUGGAAUUCCCAGUGUAGAGGUGAAAUUCGUAGAUAUUGGGAAGAACACCGGUGGCGAAGGCGGAUCGUCUGGGCCGAGUACUGACGCUGAGGAGCGAAAGCGUGGGGAGCAACAGGG